rnacentral:rRNA from 1 species
UGGGGAAUUUUGCGCAAUGGGGGCAACCCUGACGCAGCAACGCCGCGUGCGGGACGACGGCCUUCGGGUUGUAAACCGCUUUCAGCAGGGAAGACCGACGACGGUACCUGCAGAAGAAGCCCCGGCUAACUACGUGCCAGCAGCCGCGGUAAUACGUAGGGGGCGAGCGUUAUCCGGAUUCAUUGGGCGUAAAGCGCGCGUAGGCGGCGCGCCAAGCGGAACCUCUAACCUCGGGGCUCAACCUCGAGUCGGGUUCCGAACUGGCGCGCUCGAGUUCGGUAGAGGCAGGCGGAAUUCCCGGUGUAGCGGCGGAAUGCGCAGAUAUCGGGAAGAACACCGAUGGCGAAGGCAGCCUGCUGGGCCGACACUGACGCUGAGGUGCGAAAGCUAGGGGAGCGAACAGGAUUAGAUACCCUGGUAGU